AUUGAACGCUGGCGGCAUGCCUUACACAUGCAAGUCGAACGGCAGCACGGGAGUAAUCCUGGUGGCGAGUGGCGAACGGGUGAGUAAUAUAUCGGAACAUGCCCAGUCGUGGGGGAUAACGCAGCGAAAGUUGUGCUAAUACCGCAUACGAUCUAUGGAUGAAAGCGGGGGAUCGCAAGACCUCGCGCGAUUGGAGUGGCUGAUAUCAGAUUAGGUAGUUGGUGGGGUAAAGGCUCACCAAGCCGACGAUCUGUAGCUGGUCUGAGAGGACGACCAUCCACACUGGGACUGAGACACGGCCCAGACUCGUACGGGAGGCAGCAGUGGGGAAUUUUGGACAAUGGGCGCAAGCCUGAUCCAGCAAUGCCGCGUGCAGGACGAAGGCCUUCGGGUUGUAAACUGCUUUUGUACGGAGCGAAAAGGCUCUCUCUAAUACAGGGGGUUUAUGACGGUACCGUAAGAAUAAGCACCGGCUAACUACGUGCCAGCCGCCGCGGUAAGAC
rnacentral:rRNA from 1 species